CGGCGGGUAUGCAAGCGGCCAAAGCAGCGUGACUGUAACCCACGUGUCCGACGACUUCGCAGGUUCGAAUCCGUGCCCCGCCGA
rnacentral:tRNA from 1 species